CUACGGGACGCUCCAGUGAGGAAUAUUGCACAAUGGGGGGAACCCUGAUGCAGCAACGCCGCGUGGAGGAUGACGCAUUUCGGUGUGUAAACUCCUUUUAUAUGUCAAGAAAAUGACGGUAGGAUAUGAAUAAGCACCGGCUAACUCCGUGCCAGCAGCCGCGGUAAUACGGAGGGUGCAAGCGUUAAUCGGAAUCACUGGGCGUAAAGGAUGCGUAGGCCGAUAGUCAAGUCAAAAGUGAAAUCCCACGGCUCAACCGUGGAACUGCUUUCGAAACUGGUUAUCUAGAAUAUGGGAGAGGUAGAUGGAAUUAGUGGUGUAGGGGUAAAAUCCGUAGAUAUCACUAGGAAUACCGAUUGCGAAGGCGAUCUACUGGAACAUAAUUGACGCUGAGGCAUGAAAGCGUGGGGAGCAAACAGGAUUAGAUACCCCAGUAGUC
rnacentral:rRNA from 1 species